rnacentral:miRNA from 1 species
CCCCAGAUGUUGCUGAACUACAACUCCCAUGAUUCCCUGGUUAUCUGUUUCAUUGAAAGAAUCAUGGGAGUUGUAGUUCAGCAACAUCUGGGG